rnacentral:lncRNA from 1 species
UUCCAGUAACACACCGCAGGCGACUCUCUGUUCCAUGCUCGCACAUGCGCUGUUCCCGUCUUCUCUGGCUGUCAUCUCUUCCGAGAAGCCAUUCCCGGGCUCCCACAUUCCUUCCCAGGGCAGAGAGGUUUUCUAAGGAUGUAAGAUGUUCAGUGUCAAAACGGGGUCAAGCCAUAUGGAUCUCUCCUGUGCACCUUUCUCGGGUCCAGCAGGUAUGUGCAUACCCUUUGGCCCAAUUCCUCUGUUUGUGGUAGGGACAGAGGAGGCAAGGCAUCCAAGACAGCAGGAAACAGUUUUAUUUGGCUGCAGCCAGGUUCAGAGGGCACAGCUUCUGCUGUAAUCAAUCAAUCCCCUGAACCGUGAGUUCAGGGAGUUUCAGAAUUUUAUACCCAGCAUGUAGGAGGAGGGGCUCAGAAGUUCACAUUUUGCUGAAGUUCACAUAAAAGCAGUUUUUUGGGGUCUGGGAAUAUAGCUCAGUUGGUAGAGUGCUCACCUGGAAUGCACAAGGCCUUGGGUUCAAUCCCCGGCACUACAAAAAAAAAAAAAAAAGAGUUUCUUUCACUGUUCUGGGCAAGUUAACCCUUCAGGACAACACCUUCUCCCCUUUCUUUCCUCCCCCUGCCAGCUGUAACCAUGGAGCCCAGUUGGUAACUUCUCUUAUCUUAGAAAUGUAGACAUCUCUGUGAAGCCCCAGCUCAAGGCCAGAGUCCUUGUUUAAACAUUUCUACAAACUACUAUACUGGACACAUGUUUGUGAAAAACUAAUAAGGGGUGUCCAUCACCUGGAGUACUCUUUUCUUCCCAGCCAAAUAAGACAGGGCAACACGAAAAUAGGAAGUUUAUCUACAUUGAACUCUUUUGCAGAGACUCUUUUGCUGACAGUCCUAAAAUCAGCCAUGGUGAAGAUUUCUGAAGAAGCCCAGUUAAGACUUUUCUGUGGAGAAAGGGGGUGACACUACAUGUUGAACGAAUGGGCUUGGGGCAUGAGGACUCAGAUGAGUCAGGAAGAUAGACCCCUUGUGUCCUGGCUUGGGUGAAUGAAUGGGGACCCCCAAGGGCAUCCCCUCUUAGGGCUGGGAGAGGGUUUGUGGGGCCAUAGUGACUGGGAACAUGGUUGUGGGCUUGGCCAGUGUGCAGUGCCUGCAUCAGACCUAAGUGAAGAAGAUUGCUGGGUAUUCUGUUCUGGAGAGGCUGAGGGGACCUAACAAGCUAUGUAGGAAGGUUUCCUUCAACUUAUUGAGUCUCACAUUUCUCCCUCCUGUGUUAAUUACCACCACAAUUUUAGUUCACUUUUAUCUUCCAAAAAUCCAGUCAAAUCCUGGGAGAAGGUGCCAUUUGGUACAGACUUCACCGCUGCCUGGGGUUUCUCUCUUUUUCUCCAUCAUCACAUAAAGUUGAUCAUUUCAUUCAUUGUGAGAACCUAAAAAUGUAGUCUAUUUGGUUCUUGGACACAAUUUGUGAAGUCUCUAGAAGAUGUUGCCUAGCUAUAGGUUGUAAGAUCGUUAGUUAAAUAUUACCUUUAAGCUGUGGUGGGGCAGUUCGCUCAGAGAGCACACCAAGUCCCAGUUUGGUCCAAAUGGAAGAGUCUUUAUUUAGCCAGUCAGCCGGCGACUUCUCUCUAAACAGGACCCAUAACACUCUCUCUGCAAGGAACAGCCCUGAGCCUGAGCAUUUUAGGAUACUUAAAGGCAAAAACCAUAUCUGGGUUGAUGUAGCUGCAAGCAAGCAGGUACAGAAGCUGAACUGGGCAUGAGCGAGACAAUGCAGUGGGUACAUUGGUUAUUUCCCAAGGGACUUUCCAGGUAGGCAUAGCAGCAAGCAAGCAGAAGGGAUGUGGAUCAACAUGACCCUACUUCAGAACAAGUUAGAGAAUGGUUACUGAUAUCUAGACAGUCAAUCUCUGACAAGGUACAUCGCCCAAGAAAAAUGGAAACCAAAGAGAACAAUUUUACAUUGUAUAAGAAUUGCUAUUCUGUGUGGCGAAGGAUGCUAUGUUAGGUAACUAUUAAUGGGUACAGAGGCGGGGCUUUCCCACGGGAGAAGCAUUUCUUACAUGACACGAGUCUCAGGGUAAAAUGGAGUCUGUUUGUUCAUUGCCCAUAUAGUCUGGCCCAUAAAAUAAGUGACAACUGCCAAUUAACAUUGAACUUUUUGGGAUGGCAUUUGAAGGGGAAAAAUGGUCAAUGAUUCAAUUUUAUGAUGUACUAAUAUGUUAUUUGAACAACCCAAACUGAUUAUUUUUGAAAACGAGUAAGCAAGUGGCAAUUACUGUGUACUUUUGUUUUUCACUGUGCUCAUUUUUAAACACAAAGAACUGUAUUGGCUCUCAUAUCUGGAAAGGACCUUGAAAACCUCACAGGCCAUCCUUCUCAUUUUGUAAAUGAGAAGGCUGAGGCAUUCAGGGGUUAAUGACUUGCCUGUGGCAACAGUACAAAUAUAGAAAGUUGAGAUUAAGCAAUAUCUUUGCUCUCUAAAUUGAUUUCCACUGUUAGUUUGACCCAGGAAAACUCUUGCAAACACCACUCAAUGUAGAAGCAAAAUUGUCAUCAAUUAAAUUACUGCUUAAUAGGCUAAUAUAAGGUAUAUACUGCAUGUAUUCUAUUUCCACCUCUUUGGACGUCUUCCUUGAUUUACUCCUAAUAGCACAAAAUCGAAAUGAAAGCUGUAAGAUGUGCAGUGAUCAUGGACCCAGAAUCCUCCCAGGGCAAGGUACAAUGUAUUUAAAUACAUCAAAAGGAGAUGAAGACAUGUAUUAUUAAUUAGUUUUUCAGAACACACAUGGCAGAUGUGUUUGCAUUUCGCUUGGUGGGAUGCCAUGUCAUUACUUUUUAAUGUACACACAUGGAACUAAAAAAAAAUUAUACAUAGCACCAUAUUGAGUAGAAGAAGCCCAUAUUGGAAAUUUGUUGCAAAGUAGAGGAUGGAGGUUGAAAUAAGAAAGAGAGAUAGGGAGAGGGAGAGGGACAGAGAAAGAGAAUGAUAUGGUCUUCCUAGAAGUUGUAAACAGGUUUUAGGAAAACUGCCCAUAAAAAUCAAUAACAGGGGCUGGGGUGGAAGAGCACUCACCUAGCAUGUGCAAGGUCCUGGGUUUGAUCCUCAACACCACAUAAAAAUAAAUACAUAAAAUAAAGGUGUACAACUAAAACUAGAAUAUUAAAAAAAAUCAAUACUAAUCCAGAUGCUGUGGCUCACGCCUGUAAUCCCAGCAACACUGGAGGCUGGGGCAAGAGGAUCAUGAAUUCAAAGCCAGCUUCAACAAUAGCAAGGUGCUAAGCAACUCAAUGAGACCCUGUCACUAAAUAAAAUACAAAAUAGAGCUGGGGAUGUGUGGGGAUGUGGCUCAGUGGUCAAGUGCCCCUGAGUUCAAUCCCUGUACAAAAAAAAAAAAAAAAAUCAAUACUAUGGUUCGAAUGUGACUUGUCUCCUGUGAAACUCAGGUUAAACUUAAUCCCCAUUAUGAGAUAUUAAGAGAUAGGACCAAGGAGGACCUUUAAGAGGUCAUUAGAACUCUGCACUUAUGAUCGGUUAAUCCAUUCACUCAGUUUAUGGAUUAGUGAGUUAAUGAGUUAUCUGCAGAGAGGUCUGCUAUAAAAGCUAGUUUGACUAGGUCUCCCACACUCCCUCUCACUGUGUGAUAUAUCCUGUGCACCAGGGGACUCUGCUAGCAGGAAUGACAUCAUCAGAUGUGGUCUCUCAACCUUGAACCAGACCCAUGAACCAAUAUAAACCUUUCUUUAUGACUUAUCCAGUCUGUGGUGUUAUGUUACUAGCAACAGAAAACAGACUAAGACAGUCAAUAUCUUCUGGACCAUGCAUUUGGUAAAACAUGAAAGAACUUUCUGACAAUUGGUUUUUAAAAACAGAAAAAUAAUUUGUUUUCAACAAGCAUUUGCUGAGUGCUUCCUGGGUGGUCCGAGUCUGGAGGAGAUUGUGGUCCAGCAGAGGAAAUACUGAUGUGGGCAUGUAUAACAGGAGGAGGCAAGAGUCCUGAGAAAGUACUGCUGAAAAUCAGAGGAGGAAGUGGGGCCUUUCAGCUGAAGAAAUCAGGGCAGGCUUUGUGGAGGGCGAGCAUGAAAUAGGAAUAGGAUUUGAAAUCCCGGAGAGUCUGGGGACAAUUAGGGCACUUAUUCACCCUAGACCUUGACUGGCUAUCAAGAAUGGAAGGGCCAGCAAGUGCAAAGGCUUGGGGGCAGGGAAAUGAGCAGGGGCGGGCCAGAGAGGAAAUGAUGAGUAGAGAGGGGAUGAAAUGAGGUAAGAAGUGGUCUUCAUUAAAUCUCUUAACAUUCUAACAAUAACAACUUUAUUAUUAUUAUUAUCUAUUUAACAGGGAUUGAACCCAGGGGUGCUUAACCACUGAGCCACAUCCCCAGCCCUUUUUUACUUUUUAUUAUGAGUCAGGGCCUUGCUAAAUUGCUGAGGCUGGCUUUGGAUUUGGGGAACCUCCUGGGCCACUGGGAUUACAGGUGUGCACCGCUGCGCCUGGCCCAAUAACCUCACUUUAAUGGGAGUGGCUAAGAACAACAAGGAAGUGUGGGAUGUGGGGGCAGAACAUGGAGACGGAGUCACCCUAAAGAUGAAGAGUUGAUGAGUCCCACAGUCUUCAGGCUCUCGGGCCCAGUUAUGUGCUCGCUGUACACUUGGAAAGCUAGCCUCUGGGCUGCACUGAUGAUUCUGAGCACUGUGCUCCAUUGUAGACAUUGCAGAUUGAAACACAGACCUUGGAGAUGUACAUUUGAAUCUGCCUGUGAGCAAUCCUUUCAUGAUCCUGCUCCGGCAUCAGAGGGGAGGGAGGAUCAGCUCCAUUGUGAGCAGCCUCUGAAUUAAAUUUAGAAAAGCAAAGGCUGAGAACUGGAACCACAGGGUUCCCUCGUGACAACAGCCCUUACCGACUACACACAUUUUUGUGAUUGGGGGUUUUAGUCCCAGGAUGUGCUUCCCAGCCUGCUAAACCAAGGACUUUACGCCUUCUUGGGGACUCACUAGGUGUCAGAGGGGCCUUGGUUUAUGAAUUCUGUUUUCUAGAAUGAGUUGCUUCUAUUCGUCUCUCCCGAUGUAACUAAUAUUUUCAACGCCUCAUUGCUUGGUGUUUUCCAUUUUUUUCUAAGCAAUGAAAAGAAAGGAAAGCCUGGGGCCGUUUCUUUUGUGUUAGACGCAUAUUUGAGGGAUAUUCAAUAAUUGCAGCCCAGAGCAAAAUAGAGCAGGAUUUUAUGGCCAAGUCUUACGUUGAUAGAGUGGAUAGGCUGAUAGCCAUGUUCCCCUUUCUCAAACAAAUGCAUCCCUGUGAAAUGAACUGUCAGAAGAACCACAGGUUUAGGAAGCCUGGGGUAACUGAGGAGUAGUACAUGGGUCCCGAGGAGCUGACGUUAAUGUUGACACACGAUGUUUCUGGGCAAUUUGAUCCAUGCCAAUAACUGAGUUUGUUUCCUGCUGCAGGAUUCAUUUUGCUCCUAAGUCAUUUGAAGUUUUAUUAAAGAUUUACCUGGUGGCCUUUUAAAAGCACAGCAUUUACUGUCAAGUGUGUUUGGACACCAUUUGUGCUUAUUGAACAUUAGUAUGACACUGGACCAGAAUGUUUUAAAACUCAACAAGAGCUUCUUAAUGUCUAAUUCAGGUCCUUCUUUCUCUAAUUAUACUGGCAUAGUGCCUUCGCAAUGUCAAAACUGAAAAACUAUAUGACAAACCUGACCUAAGAUACAAUCAUUGAUUCAUCUAAGAGUAAAAAUAGAAACCAGUCAUUUUUGGCCUGUCAGGCUCUUAUAUUAAAAUGACAGUUCUUCAUCUGUUUUGCUGUAAUGAUUAUGACCAUUUUGUCUCUGUUAUCUUGCAUCUGAGUCACCCAGAAAUUUUAUCCAACAUUUUUAAUGCAGAACAUUGCAUGCAGCCUCUUUUUAGAACUCCAAUAAAGUCCUUCAAAGAUCUUGCUUUUAACAAUUCUAUCAAAAUGGACUUAGCAAGUAGUUCGGGUAUUAUUGUUAAGCUUGGUGUUUUAAAAUCGCGCUUCAAUAUUUAUACCCAGAGGUGAUAAUCCCCAGAGUAAAAGCGCUGCCGUUGAAAUCUUCCAUUUGGGAUGAGUCUGCUCUUUUGAUGAAGAAGAAUGCUGAUUACAAAAACAAUGCUUUAAACCUGAGCCCGGAUGCAGAAAUUUUAAAUCUGUCUUUCAAAGAUUAUUUCACACAGCUUCGGCAUAAAAAAAUCGUUGGCAAUUUCUUCUGAAUGACUCUUCCAUUUUCUUCAUAAGUGUAUUUUCCCAGAGUGUUGCUUAGAUAUGACCCAUGUUAUACUGAAAUGCAGGGUGUGUGUGCGCGCGUGCACACGUGUGUGCACAUGGGUGCACAUCUAUGUGUAUACACGUGUUCUGGCAGAAAGGAUAUGCCAGAUGAUGUGUUCCUUGAUUUGGAGAAAAAAGGUUGAUGGCUUACCUUUUCUACUUUCUAAAUUAUUGAGAAAUAUAUGCAUUUUUAAAAAUAGAAGAAGAAAAAGAAGAGCUUCGUCUUGGUGCAAAUAUUCACUCACUGUUCAAAAUGGCCCCACUUCCUUUUGGCCUCUCUGCUGCACUGAUGAUUCUGAGCACCGUGCUCCAUUGUAGACACUGCAGAUUGAAACAAAGACCUUGGAGAUGUACAUUUGAAUCUGCCUGUGCCACUUGCUUGCUGUGUGAACUUAGACAAGGAUCUUAACCUCUCUGAGUCUCACUUUUCCCACAUGUCAGGUGAAGGAUGGUGAGAAGAGCCAGCAGAGUAGUGUUGUGAGGAUGAAAUGAAAUGCCACCCUUGAAAUGACAUGACAUGACACUUGAUCCGUAGGAAGCACCCAAUGAGUUGUAGCCACUCAUAGCAGCUGUGAUCACAGGGGAAGUAUGGUGAUUACAAACUUGGUGGCGACAAGAAAAGGGCCACUAACAUCUACCAUUCAACAUAUACCAGGCAGGUAGCAUUGUCAUGGGUGUGGGUGGAAUUCAUGUAGCUAGUGUUAGAGAAGCUGGAGGACAGCCUGUUGGGGGCAAACAUAACUGAGCCAAUGUGAUUACUUUGAAGUGUAUAUAUCAAGUGACCCAAAAGUACUGCCAGUGGGAGGAGCUAUGGAUGAUUGACAUAGAGCAGCAACGGCAGGUAUUCACAGAGCACUUAGAUGGUGGACUGUGCUGAGCAUUGAGGACUGAAAGAUGCACAGACAAGCUCCUGUCCCAAAGUCGGCCAGCUUCUGUGUGAGUGUGAGUGUGAGUAUGAGAGUGUGUGUGCAUGAAGGUGUGUGUGAAUGAGGUUGGGUGGAAAGAACUUGAGAAGGAAACUUGGUGUAGCAAGACCUUGAGAGGUGAACUCAGCUAUCAGGUUGUCCCUCCCUUGGUGACAUCCAGGGCUGGUCCUAUAUUCCCACCCUAUGGAGUUUAUAAUCCAAUGAAGAUGGAUAAGCAGAGCUCAGAUCCCCUUCCAGAACUUUGUCUAACAGUGAGCCCCAUACCGAAGUUGAAAUCUCCUACUAAAACAUAUAAAAAAAGUAAAAAGAAACAGAUGGAACUCAUUUUAAUAAUGUACAUAUUUUCACCAUAUAUAUAUGUAUAUACAUAUGUAUUUUUUUAACCCCAAACAUUCUCAAUAUAAAAUUCUUUUUUUCCCCCCUGUGGUGCUGGGGAUUGAACCCAGGGCCUUGUGCAUGUGAGGCAAGCACUCUACCAACUGAGCUAUAUCCACAGCCCUAUAUAAAAUUCUUAAUGAGAUAUUUUAUUUGAUUUUGGACCAAAUCUUCAAAAUGGGAUGUGUUUUCUGCACUCACAGCACAUCUCUAAUUUGGCAAUUCUAAGGGUGGUGCUUGGCCUCACAAAAUGGAUAUGCUCUGGCCCCCAUCUGCACCUUCCAAACCAGGAGGAUCGAACAGGAUCCAUGAUGACUCAUCCGCCAUGCUGUCUGAUGACUUUAAAAGCUUGUCAUUUGAGGAGAUGACACACCCUCCCCUCUAAUCAUAUUUGUGUAGUCCAUUUCCUUAUCAUAGGUUAGGUAAACCACGUUAUCACAGUCAGGCCAAAGGUAGACCUCAGGUCAGCCCUCGGAAUCAGUGGCAUCUACUUAGGCUUUUCUUAAUCAGGAGGUUGAGUUACUUAGCAAAAAAUGAAGAGAGACAAGAGGAAGAGGAGACAGGAACAAGUUUUUAUUCAACUAUGGAAUGAAUGACUCCACUGUUCUCAUCCUUGCUCUUCUUUCCUGACAUAAAGGAAAUAGGAAAGGGAGAAGGAGAGAGAAGGGAGGAGGAUGAGAAUUUGCAAAUUCAUGGGCUUUCCCAGUCUGAGUUCCUCACCUAGGGCUGGCCUCAUGGACAUCUGACCUUAGAAGGGCUGGCUCUCAUUUAAUUCUCUGCUGUCACAGUGUUGAAAGUCCCAACAAUUUUUUUGGACAGGGGUCCUGCCUUUCCAUCAGGGCCCCACAAAUUAUGUAGGUGGUACUCUCCCCUGCAGGUGUAAGGGAGUGUGGAGAUUAGGUAGGUUUUGGAGGAGUUUAUGCUCUUUUUGACUUCUCCAUCACUAAAAUCUCUAGCCAAAGAAAGCAAGACAGCAAGCAAGCAAUCAAGAAAGAAAGAGAAGAGAAAAGAAAACAGAAAACAGGUCUGGGGUAGAAUUGGGCUUAAUAAUGCAUUAGAAGCAGAGUGUCAGCGGAAGGCUAAAUGCUGAAACUGUGUAUCAAAUCACCAUUUAUCAUAGGACAAAGAGCGAGUUCCUCAAUUAAUCAGCGCCUAUCAACAGUCCCGCCCUCCCAGCCAUCCCUCUAGGGUCCUAUUCCUGGUGUUUGAAUAGAGGCUAGUACUUCUGGGCAGUGCCAGUGAGUCAGCCGUCCCACUGAUAAUGAAAGUUUUAUGUGGAUGAAAGUGAACACAUUAACUUGUUUCUAUUCUGUCAACAAUUUAAGCAAAGAGUAAAAGUAUAUUGGUAGUUUUAGUGCUCUGAUGCGAAAUUGAAUGUUUUGAGCCUUCUCAAAGCUUUGAGAUCCAAGAAAAUCACUUUAGUGCUAAUCUACUUGGGAUAAGUUGUAAAGCUUUCAAUUCAGAAUUUGUUCUGUGGACCAGUAGCAUUGGCAUCACCCCAAAGCUGGCUCCCCUACCAUCUGCCCCAAUAAGAAUCUGCAUUUUAGAAGCUCCCCAGGUGGUUUAUGUGUGUAAUAAAGUUUGAGAAGUGGUUCAACAGCUGCUUGUCUUGGUGAGGAAAGGGGGUUUAAACCAUCCCCAAAUGAAUCUAUUUAGUGCCUGAGCCACUUGGAAAGUUAUGGGAGAGGAAGGGACCUCAGAGGGUGGUCCCAGACCAGCAGCACCAAUAUCACGGAAGCUUGUUGCAAAUGAAGAUUCUCAGACUUCCACCUCAAAUCCUCUGUGGAAAUUCUGGGGUAGGGGCAGGGUCCGGCCACCUGCAUCUCUGUCCUAACAAGAUUCCCAGGUGACCCGGAUGCAUGGCAAGGCUCAAGAACCACUGCUGGGGGCUGUUAGUGGUAACGGUGUGGGAAGGGUUGCAACUGAUUGUAUAUUUUCAUUUUGUUGGAGGCACUGGGAAAUCAGGUCUGGUAGCGCCAUGAUCCUAGCUUUGAAAGAAGUGAUGAUGCUCUGAUGAUGAAACUAUUACCUGAAAUUUGUUAUUUUUAUUUUCGAGGGGACAGAAAGAAGCUCAAUGGUUGAUUAAAUAAGGUGCAUGGAAUGUCCUGAGAUUGAUGAAUCGGAGGAAGUGAAGAGUUAAAGGAAAAGCAAGAGAGCCAACUUUGUCCGUGGUGGUGGUGACUUACUGCUGGGCUCACCUGGGACAGGAAGAAUCCUUUCUCUCUUGCUUCAAAGUGUCAGGCAGUGCCCCGUGUUUUUCAUUUGGGCUGCUUGAGCAUCUAUUGCAAUGGGUCUGAUGCUGUGAUAGUCAAGCGGGGGUGGUCCAGAUAUCUCCAAGACACCGUCCAUGAUCCCAAAAGGCUUCAGCCUCAUGGGAGAUGUUGCUUAAUAAAUCAGUAGUUAGAAAACAGUAUGUGUUAGUGAAAAGAUUUGGGGCUAUAGAGAUGGGAUCCCCAAGGAAAGGUGGAUGAGAGUGAGCCAUGGAAGUCUUCCAUAAGGUGGUGACAUGCCCGUGCAGUGCUUAAGGAAGAGCGACUAGCCAGGCAGUCAGGAGGGACAUGGGCAAUGCAUCCUGUGGAUAAGUCAUGACGUAAACCUGAGAAUUUAUUCAAUCAUCCCAUAAAUAUUUAUUCAGUGUCUGCUGUGUACCCGACACUGUUCUUUAAUGAACAAAAUAGACAAACAUGGGUUCAUUCUAGCAGAGGAAUAUAGACCCAACACACACACACACACACACACUAAUGUGAUUGAUAUAAUCAUGCUGGUGUGAGAUGAGGUGGUGUAAGAAUCCAGAACCUUUAUCAUCAUCUUCCACAGCAGGAAUUUAAGUCUAUAGUGUCUUAAAUUAUGGAUCAAGAAGAAGCAUUAUAAAUAUAUUGUUUAGAAAUAUGCAAGCUUAUACAAGAAGAAAGAGCUAAAAUAGUCUGGAAAGAAAGGUUCAGGAGUGGGAGACUAGGGACUUGUAUUUUUCAGGAUGAGACUUUUCGAGCAUUCCAUGUUCCAUUCACUCAUUCAUUCAUUCAUUCAUUCAUUCACAAAUAUGCAUAAAUACGAUUGUGGGCCAGCUCCUGAUUGCAGGGAUCCAGAAACACAAAAUUUUCUGCCCUGGCAGAACCUAGCUUCCUGGGCCACAGCUAGAAAGGGUGGGGGUGGAGGGUGUUCUCUCAUUUAGAGUAAUGAGCUGGGCCUUGCUGGGAACGAUAUUUGAAUAAAAAUUGUAGAGGAAGAGCCAUCUAGAAGUUGGGUGGGGGAACUUCCCGGGGCAAAGGUCUGGGGUGGUGAGUGUGGGUGGAGCAGAGGGCCCUAUGCUACUGCCGAGGGUUGGGAGGGACAUGGGAGUAAAAGAGGGCAGAGGCAAACAGCCAUGACCCGCUGAUGGCCAAUGUCCUGCAAGGACUCGGAAUGUACUCUGUGUAACAUGGGAAGCCACUGGAUAUUGUCUGUGGAGCAAUUCCCUACUCUUUAAAAAAAGACACAAAGACCACACAUGAUAAACACGGAUUUAAGUUAAUGGUAUAGGCAAUGUAUCACUUUUUCAAAUGUAUUUUUUUCCCAAUCAUUGAGAUGGAAAGUAGUACCAGUGGCAAAAAAACGUGCACACAGAUUUGAAUGCAAUUUAAAACGAAAAGCUAAAGAGCAAACUAGUAAUGAUUCAGGUGAGACCCUAAUACCUCCCGAGUAGGGCAGCAGCUUAGGGCUCUGGUAACACAGUCUGCAUGAUUGCAGUUUCCUUUCCUACACGCGCCGCCCAGUCCAGCUGCCCUUCCACCAGCUGCCCCCAAUCAUUAGAAAUUCCUAGGACCUCAUAAAGAUGCACAAUUAUUAUGUAUUAAUCAAAAAUUAAAAAAAAUAAGCUUAAGGAGAUGGAAAUACUAAUUACCCUGAUUUGAUCAUUACACACUGUAUGUAUGUAUUAAAUUAUCACAUGGUAGCCCAUAAAUUUUUUGAGUCAAAUAAUAUUUACUAAAAAGGAGACUAAAAGAAAAAAAACGGUUUAUAUUUGUUAUAUGAAUUUUACUUCAAUAAAAAAUGAAAUAAAAGGAAAAAAAAACAUAUGAGAGUAUUUUGUAUCAGCCAGGUACAAAAAUGAGUAAGUCUGUCGUGGAUGUAAACAGGACACGUGGCUAAAGGAGGGCAAGGCAGAGACAGGAGGAGAACAGAUGCCAUCUGGCAAAUGUCACGCUGUUAUCACGAGAGGUUGUUAUUUGGCGUUGAAGUAGCUUUCAUAUCCCUUGGGAGAAUGCUUUCCAAGCCUUUUCCCUUUUCUGACAUCUAAUUCAGUUGGCACAUUAAUUCUGAGACAAAAGUGCACAGGAUAAUGGUAACCUUCAGGACUGGCCUGUGCCGAUAAAUGGGUGUUGAGUGAGUGAGCAAGUCACCUUGAGUGAUGACUCAAGAAGGCUCACCUGGAAACAGUCUGUCUCUCUUACCCAUCGCACAGGUGUGUCACCUCCAGCCAUGGAAUGAACAGAGUGUCACAGUAGCCAAUGGUGUCUCCCACGGAAUGGCAAACAGCCAUGACCCGCUGAUGGCCAAUGUCCUGCAAGGACUCUGAAUGUACUCUGUGUGACCUGGGAAGCCACGGAAGCUGACAUGGGAAGCCAAGCUGAAGGAUGGGUUUGAAUACCCCAACUGCAACAAAGGACUGUAAAAUACCUUCAGGGAGGUCUGGAUUCAGAGUCCAACAUAGUGAGCACACAGUUGAUGGUCAACAAGUCCGUAAAUUGUGAAGGAAAAAUGCCCAGUUUAUCUGUUUUAAAGGGGAAGAAAAUAUUUUUUUCCCUUAAAAAUUCUGUUUUUGUGGUGUCCACUAUCAUUCAAAAUGCAUUUUGACAUAUACCUUAGUCUAAAUAAGAAGUUUGCCUGUUUUUCUAGGUAAAAGUGAACAUAAAAGAAUCAUAUCAGCUUUGUCUUGGGGAAAAAUUAUCACAAGAUCUGGCUGGGGUCAAAAGGCAUAGGGUAACUGUGACCUUUGAGGAAAUAAUAUCAAUGUGAUAAAAUACAUCAUUUGGGAUCUCAAGUGUUUUAUUCCCCCCACUUUUUUUUUUUAAAUUGGUGCAUCAUAGUUGUACAUACAGGCUCUCAAGUCUUUAAGAUUCUAUGUCAUGCUUAAAAAAUAAGUAUGCGUUUCUCUUUGGCUCCCUCUGCUGGAUGAUUUUCUUUCUGCUUUGGCUCUUGUGAUUGAUAGCUCAUACAGCUGUGAGGUUCUUGCUCGCUCUCCAUCCACAAGAUUAUGUUGAAUUAUAAUUAGAUUCAGGAGAAACCCUUCAGCCAAUGGUUCUCAUUCAACUUCAAUUGGGAUCUGCUGGACGGUGUGAUGUUCUCAGUGGAAGUUAUAAAGGCUUUUGUUGUGUGCAACGGUUCUGUCCUGGAGGAUGGAGUUCGGUCACACUGUUUGCAGAUCUGAGAAAUAAGAAUCUAUGAUUCUUUGUGCUUUUAACCUAGGGACCAUUGCAUCAAACCAUCAUGGAAAUUUUAAGGAAUAUAUCAAAGUGUAUGUAUCAAGUGGAGCAGAGUGGCCCAAGUGACAAAACAGGUGCCAUAAACGCCCAGUGUCUACUUCAUCAGACAGAGGAGCUCAGAGGAGGCACUGGGGAAACUCAUGCGGCUGGAGGGUUUGUGUCCUGUAUCCCCAGCCUCCAAGCACCAAAGCCUGCCACACUGCACACCUCCAGACUCUCCUGGGUAUCUUGUCCAUUGUUGAUGAACUAAUUAUAUUCAGGUGCCAUCUGCAUGGAUCAAGAGUGGAAUAUUGGCAAUUUUGCAUGAGUCAAUGUAUUUAGAACAAAACCCUUGGCCAGUAUUCUGUAUCAAAUGAGAAAUAAAAUUCUUUGUUCAUUGUUACAAGACUUCAUGUGCCAUAAAGUGGUGUAGAAGGCUAGAGUUAAAUUUUUUUUUUUUUUUUUUUAGGGAGCGGGGAGGUUUAAGGGAGGUAAAAACCCAGUGGAUCCCGUUUAGGUAGAAAUUACUUGAUAUGAUACAUAUAAUACAAAUCUCAAAUUGCUAUGAUCUUUUAGGAAUGAAUUGUGAAUGUCUGAUACUCCUCUAUUCCUCGUGAAACUGUGGACAUGAUCCUAGAUCAGAAAAUACAUGGAGUCCGGGCCUAGGUUGCUAUGAAGCCAGCAGGGGGAGCUCUUGCUCUUCAUAUCUAAUAAGGGCCAAAGCAACCCUCCCAAGGCUCUUAGUGAAACUCAGGUUUGUGACUCAUAAGGGCGUGUGUGUGUGUGUGUGUGUGUGUGUGUGUGUGUGUGUGUGUGUGUGUGUGUGUUUUAGCUCAGUUUAAAUUGGCAGUUUUGCAAAGGACAGCAUGAUGUAUUUCUUAGUGCACAGCAAAAAUUGAACAUUAUCUUGAAAACUAUUUGGGAAACAUACAAUUUUUAAAAUAAAAAACAAUACAUAUCUUUUGUCUUAAUUUUAAUUUUUGCCAUAAACAUGAGUUACCUGAGGGGAAACACAGACACUUUUCAAUCUUUAAAGUGUUUACACUGAUCCUAAACUAUCCAAUUCAAAUUAUCCACCCCUGUUUUUAGUAGCCUGUGUUUAGUGAAGGGGUCAAGACCCUCUCCUGCUAGUGAAGAUUUAAUGGUCUGUUCACCUUUCUGAGACAGAGAUAUUGAUGGAUAGGUCUGACUGUUUCUACUGUAAUUUUCAUUUUCUUUCUUUCCUUUUUUUUUUGUGGUGCUGGGAUUUAACCCAGGGAUGCUUUAUCCCCAGUUUUUUAUUUUUUAUUUUUAGACAGGCUAUUGCUAAGUUGCUGAGGCUCAUCUUGAACUUUCGAUCCUCCUGCCUCAGCCUCCUGAGUUCCUGGUAUAACAGGAUUACAGGUGUGUACCACCAUUCCUGGCUGUAAUUUUCAUUUUUCUCCUGCUCUGUCAUCUGUAGCAGAAGUUGGAAAUUUUUUUCUCUAAAGGCCAGAAGAUAAAUAUGUAAGGGCUCGUGGGUCAGAGAGAUACUGUUAGCCUAAGCACAGCCAUAGAAAUGUGUAGACUGAACGGUGUGGCUGUGUCCUAUUGAAACUUUAUGUGCAAUUUGGCCACCCCUUUGACCUAUAAACAUCUAUGGAGAUUGAAAGCACAGUUAAUAUUUUCCCUUUACCUAUUAUUAUAUAUUCUCUGUAGACUCAAACUCUUUUCUAAUUAAGAAGAAAAUAACCAAAUCAGAAAGUCCUGUUUCAAAUCCUUUUGAACUGUUCCUCUUACAACAUUCCUGACAAGCAACUUUGCCCUCUGUUUGGAAAUCUCGUACUCCCUGUCUUGCUCUGUAAAGAAGGUGGUGGCCCCAAAGGGUAGACAAGACAAGCUCUUGAGCAGCAGUGUGGCAAUUUAGAAACCAGUGCUGCGGACAUUGUAGACUUUUGAACUUUUCAUUCAAUCAUUGUGUAUUCUAAAUUUUCAAAGAAAGAUGCCACAGUAUCAAGUAACCGGCGUGACUGGCCCGAAACAUCCCAGGAGAAUCUGGUUUAAGAUUUUUCGAGAAGCUGAUCCAAGAACAUUUUCUUUCUCUCUUUGUUCUGUGGGGUGAUACACAAGGUUUCUUUCUAGGAUGCCUCGAAGACACAAAUGCCAAGAUGGAAAUAAAUCCUGACAAGUUAUCUUGGAAAGCAAGCCAGCCCUGAGAGAAGGGAUGAUUGUUAGGGUAGGAACGGGGACUUUCUGUCCACCACCUGACCUUGAGAAUGGAUUGUUUCCUUCAAGUUUGAGUGGGAGGCCGAGGUCUGGAUGGCUGUCUGCAUUUUCAGCGACGCUUCCCUUGCUGAUGGUAGCAGUUUAGAUAGUUGUUACCCUCCCUUUUUAGGGACAUUGUUCUGGGGCUGAACAUGGAAGAGAAGAAAUGAGAAGUGACCAAAAAAGGAAAAUCCUGGAGGUAGAAGAGAUACAUCUUUCUGCCUUUUAUAAUGAGAUUUUUUUUUUUUUUUUUUGGUAAGCAUCAGAGGUUACUGCAGGCACCAGAAAAAUGGUGGGGGGUAGAAGUGAGUGCCUGCCCUUUUCUGCUAGGGCAGUGAGACCCCAGUGAGCACACAGGCCCCUUCCAGAUAUCACUGGAUCAUUUAAGAGUAGCAGAGAUCACUUAAAAAGUUUUAUUUCUAAAGGAUCCUUGGAGUCAGCUGUGAGUUCUUACCUUGACACACUUCUGGUGGGCAAAGUGGGGAGGAUCAGAGCCCACGUCCUAUCAGGAGAUACUGGAAAUGGACCAAAGCCCUGGACUCCCAGUCCCAGACUCCAUCAGCACAGCUCCCCUAUGUCAGACAUCUGGGUCACUCCUGUUCAGGCUGCCCAGUCUCUGGACCCUGGGAUGGGUCUCCAGCUGGCCCAGAGGUGUGGGUCCCCAGCAUCCCUUGUCCAGUUUCCCAAAGACUCAGCAUAGCUUUUCUGGAGGGCGUGGCUUUAACCUUUUGCAUUGAAGAAAUAGUAGGCUGAUGCUGAUAGAGAAGGAAACUGACCUGCAUGUCUGCUCUCCUAAGGCAGCUCCAGUGUAGACUGAGACGGAACUGCCUCUUGGUCAUGUUCGCCUCUUGGUGGCUGAGAGGUCAUGGGGUGGGGGUGGAAGAGGGAACACUGGAGUGACAGCGUCUUCUCCCUUGGGCUGUGUUGAUUUUUGGUGCAUUCACACUUGAUGUAGGGACAGAGGAAAGACCCAGAAAAUACUUUAGCUCCUGGAGCAGGGCCUCUUCUAGAACUUUCUAACCACCUAACACUGUAUGGAGAAGAGCAGGAGACUGAGUGAGAAAGGUAAUAAGCCAUGAACCCACAAAAGGAUCUCUUGCCCUUGGCUCAGCCUCCUGCAGGGGUGCAGGGGUGGAGAGAGACCCCUCCUUCUGCAGGGCUGCCAACCGGUAAGUGUGUCCCUCCCCCACUCCCAGCACUGUUGCCAAGUACAGUUCAGUACAUCCGGAUGACUUCCAUUCUCAUGCAUCGUGUACAAGUUAGCCCUUUUCUUGAGCUAAGCAAACACAACAAACAAACAAAUAAAUUAGAUUUUCCACGGCUUCCCAAACAUUUGUAAUAAUGCGUUUUCUUCUUGGAAUGUCCUUCUCUGGUCUGCCAGCUGAUUACUGUUUUCAGAGGACACUAAUGACAACCCGGAUGUGAUGUCUACAAAGCCCCACAUUAAGGAAGCUUGCGUGGCAAACCUGCCAUUCAGGUAAUGACUGCUGCUCUCUGGAAAAACAAGCUGAUGCUCGUGAGGGGAAGGCCAGGUGGCAAUGUCUGGAUGCUGGAGAGGGGGCGAGGCCCGUCACCCCUGACCCGGUGGGCAUGGGGUCGUGAAUGGCUUUAUGCAGUUUUUGUUAAGUUGGGAGAUAGCUUCCAGAGGGUGGAAAGAGCUUUACUAAAGAGACACAUUUCCUUUCUUCCUCCCAACUCGAAUCAAUUUCAUUAUCAUAACGAGCAGAGGUAGUAAUUA